UACGGAGGGUGCAAGCGUUAUCCGGAAUCACUGGGUUUAAAGGGUGCGUAGGCGGCUAUGUAAGUCAGGGGUGAAAGCCUACAGCUUAACUGUAGAACUGCCUUUGAUACUGCAUAGCUUGAAUUAGGUUGAGGUUGGCGGAAUGUGGCAUGUAGCGGUGAAAUGCAUAGAUAUGCCAUAGAACACCAAUUGCGAAAGGC
rnacentral:rRNA from 1 species